rnacentral:rRNA from 1 species
GACGAACGCUGGCGGCGUGCCUAAUACAUGCAAGUAGAACGCACAGUUUAUACCGUAGCUUGCUACACCAUAGACUGUGAGUUGCGAACGGGUGAGUAACGCGUAGGUAACCUGCCUGGUAGCGGGGGAUAACUAUUGGAAACGAUAGCUAAUACCGCAUAAUAUUGAUUAUUGCAUGAUAAUUAAUUGAAAGGUGCAAUUGCACCACUACCAGAUGGACCUGCGUUGUAUUAGCUAGUAGGUGAGGUAACGGCUCACCUAGGCGACGAUACAUAGCCGACCUGAGAGGGUGAUCGGCCACACUGGGACUGAGACACGGCCCAGACUCCUACGGGAGGCAGCAGUAGGGAAUCUUCGGCAAUGGACGAAAGUCUGACCGAGCAACGCCGCAUGAGUGAAGAAGGUUUUCGGAUCGUAAAGCUCUGUUGUAAGAGAAGAACGGGUGUGGGAGUGGAAAGUUCACACUGUGACGGUAUCUUACCAGAAAGGGACGGCUAACUACGUG